CCUACGGGAGGCUGCAGUGAGGAAUAUUGGUCAAUGGCCGGAAGGCUGAACCAGCCAAGCCGCGUGAAGGACGAAGGUGCCAAGCAUUGUAAACUUCUUUUGUCAAGGGACAAAAUCAGGCUCGAGAGCCUGACCGAGGGUACUUGAAGAAAAAGCAUCGGCUAACUCCGUGCCAGCAGCCGCGGUAAUACGGAGGAUGCGAGCGUUAUCCGGAUUUAUUGGGUUUAAAGGGUGCGUAGGCGGGCUGUUAAGUCAGCGGUAAAAGCCCGGGGCUCAACCCCGGCGAGCCGGUGAAACUGGCUGUCGUGAGAGGGCGAGAGGUAUGCGGAAUGCGCAGUGUAGCGGUGAAAUGCUUAGAUAUUGCGCAGAACGCCGAUUGCGAAGGCAGCAUACCGGCGCCCAACUGACGCUGAAGCACGAAAGCGUGGGUAUCGAACAGGAUUAGAUACCCCAGUAGUC
rnacentral:rRNA from 1 species